CUGUCAGACCCAAGGAUGCUUCUCCUUGGUAUAAUGCCGAAACACGUUCCUUUAAACAAGCAGCACGUAAAUUAGAGAGGCUAUGGCGCCGUUCCAGCUCAGAGCAUUCUUUUAGUGCCUGGAAAAACAGCUUAUUGGCCUAUAAGCAGGCCCUGCGUAAGGCUAAAACUAGUUACUACUCAUCCUUAAUCGAGAAAAACAAGAAUAACCCUAGAUUCCUGUUCAGCACUGUUGCCAGGCUGACAAACAGUCACAGUUCAGUAGAACCCUCUAUCCCACUUACUCUCAGCUGUGAUGACUUCCUACAAUUCUUUAACGAUAAAAUCUCAACUAUUAGGAACAAAAUAGAUGAACUACUUCCAAAUAUUAGGUCUGACAAAGCACAGGCUACUAACCAAGAAUCUCUUCUAAACCCCCCUACAAUGUUAGAUAA